UACGAAGGGGGCUAGCGUUGCUCGGAAUCACUGGGCGUAAAGGGUGCGCAGGCGGAUCGUUAAGUCAGGGGUGAAAUGCCGAGGCUCAACCUCGGAACUGCCUUUGAUACUGGCGAUCUUAGAGUCCGGGAGAGGUGAGUGGAACUCCGAGUGUAGAGGUGAAAUUCGUAGAUAUUCGGAAGAACACCAGUGGCGAAGGCGGCUCACUGGCCCGGUACUGACGCUCAGGUGCGAAAGCGUGGGGAGCAAACAGG
rnacentral:rRNA from 1 species